AGAGUUUGAUCCUGGCUCAGGACGAACGCUGGCGGCGUGCCUAAUACAUGCAAGUCGAACGAACUCUGGUAUUGAUUGGUGCUUGCAUCAUGAUUUACAUUUGAGUGAGUGGCGAACUGGUGAGUAACACGUGGGAAACCUGCCCAGAAGCGGGGGAUAACACCUGGAAACAGAUGCUAAUACCGCAUAACAACUUGGACCGCAUGGUCCGAGUUCGAAAGAUGGCUUCGGCUAUCACUUUUGGAUGGUCCCGCGGCGUAUUAGCUAGAUGGUGGGGUAACGGCUCACCAUGGCAAUGAUACGUAGCCGACCUGAGAGGGUAAUCGGCCACAUUGGGACUGAGACACGGCCCAAACUCCUACGGGAGGCAGCAGUAGGGAAUCUUCCACAAUGGACGAAAGUCUGAUGGAGCAACGCCGCGUGAGUGAAGAAGGGUUUCGGCUCGUAAAACUCUGUUGUUAAAGAAGAACAUAUCUGAGAGUAACUGUUCAGGUAUUGACGGUAUUUAACCAGAAAGCCACGGCUAACUACGUGCCAGCAGCCGCGGUAAUACGUAGGUGGCAAGCGUUGUCCGGAUUUAUUGGGCGUAAAGCGAGCGCAGGCGGUUUUUUAAGUCUGAUGUGAAAGCCUUCGGCUCAACCGAAGAAGUGCAUCGGAAACUGGGAAACUUGAGUGCAGAAGAGGACAGUGGAACUCCAUGUGUAGCGGUGAAAUGCGUAGAUAUAUGGAAGAACACCAGUGGCGAAGGCGGCUGUCUGGUCUGUAACUGACGCUGAGGCUCGAAAGUAUGGGUAGCAAACAGGAUUAGAUACCCUGGUAGUCCAUACCGUAAACGAUGAAUGCUAAGUGUUGGAGGGUUUCCGCCCUUCAGUGCUGCAGCUAACGCAUUAAGCAUUCCGCCUGGGGAGUACGGCCGCAAGGCUGAAACUCAAAGGAAUUGACGGGGGCCCGCACAAGCGGUGGAGCAUGUGGUUUAAUUCGAAGCUACGCGAAGAACCUUACCAGGUCUUGACAUACUAUGCAAAUCUAAGAGAUUAGACGUUCCCUUCGGGGACAUGGAUACAGGUGGUGCAUGGUUGUCGUCAGCUCGUGUCGUGAGAUGUUGGGUUAAGUCCCGCAACGAGCGCAACCCUUAUUAUCAGUUGCCAGCAUUAAGUUGGGCACUCUGGUGAGACUGCCGGUGACAAACCGGAGGAAGGUGGGGAUGACGUCAAAUCAUCAUGCCCCUUAUGACCUGGGCUACACACGUGCUACAAUGGAUGGUACAACGAGUUGCGAACUCGCGAGAGUAAGCUAAUCCCUUAAAGCCAUUCUCAGUUCGGAUUGUAGGCUGCAACUCGCCUACAUGAAGUCGGAAUCGCUAGUAAUCGCGGAUCAGCAUGCCGCGGUGAAUACGUUCCCGGGCCUUGUACACACCGCCCGUCACACCAUGAGAGUUUGUAACACCCAAAGUCGGUGGGGUAACCUUUUAGGAACCAGCCGCCUAAGGUGGGACAGAUGAUUAGGGUGAAGUCGUAACAAGGUAACC
rnacentral:rRNA from 2 species